GUAGGCUUUGUAGCUCAUGCAAGUUGUUGCCUUUCUGCUGCCUUGCCUCAUGGCCAUGAAGAAGCAGUUGGACCUGCAAUUCCUCCACCUUUCCCUGGCUCCUCCUUCAGCUUCUUCCAUACAUGGCACAGAAGAUGCCAUUCAGAAUACCACAUUGCAUUUGGUCAUAUUGAUCCCUUAAGCACCUCUAAACUAAACUGUGACCGUUUAUCAGAAUUUCCUUGUUUUUGAAGACUGUGAUAUCUGAUUGCUGAACAAAUUAUCUUUUUCUCCACCGAAUUGUCUUUGCACUUUUGAAGAAGAGAUGGAAGAAGAGGAAGAACAUUGUUCAUUAUGUACGCAUCUAUUUCUGGACUUUCUACUCUCUUCCACUGAUCUAUUUGUGAAUUAUUUGAUUAUCAUAGUGUAUGGUGAGGCCCGAGUCAAGCUAGCCUCUGUACCUCCAUUUUUAGUAAAAUCUCCAUUUAUGCAUGGCACUGACCUCUGCCUGAACCCCCAGGUAGUGUGUCAAGAUAAGAGCUGUUGUCAAGAUAAGUGUUCUGAGAAAAACUGCAAAAUGUACCGUUCCCGUAGCGGUCGUUUUGCUUCUGUAACUGCGCUUGCCGCCCCCGCCCUCGCCCUCACCGCUUACCGGGCUAACUGAUUGGCCACUGGAGCUCGAGAGAGAGCCAACUUCCUGCUUAUGAAACUGCUUAAAAACUGCAGCUGAAAGACGUCCGGGGUCCUUCUCUGGGGCUGCGUCCUUGAGAUUGGACCCUGGACGGCGAAAUAAAAGCUUGGCAUUCAA